UCCUUUUACAUGACCACUUAAUCACAUAAGGGCCAAUAAUCAGAUAGCAACCAGAUUUUUAUGUGCAUGUAAACGGGGCCAGUUGAUUUUGCUGGGUACCAGCAUCCA